GACGAACGCUGGCGGCGCGCCUAACACAUGCAAGUCGAACGGAGCUUAGAGAGCUUGCUUUUUAAGCUUAGUGGCGAACGGGUGAGUAACGCGUGAGUAACCUGCCCUAGAGUGGGGGACAACAGUUGGAAACGACUGCUAAUACCGCAUAAGCCCCACGGUACCGCAUGGUACUGAGGGAAAAGGAUUUAUUCGCUUUAGGAUGGACUCGCGUCCAAUUAGCUAGUUGGUGAGGUAACGGCCCACCAAGGCGACGAUUGGUAGCCGGACUGAGAGGUUGAACGGCCACAUUGGGACUGAGACACGGCCCAGACUCCUACGGGAGGCAGCAGUGGGGGAUAUUGCACAAUGGGGGAAACCCUGAUGCAGCGACGCCGCGUGGAGGAAGAAGGUUUUCGGAUUGUAAACUCCUGUCGUUAGGGACGAUAAUGACGGUACCUAACAAGAAAGCACCGGCUAACUACGUGCCAGCAGCCGCGGUAAAACGUAGGGUGCAAGCGUUGUCCGGAAUUACUGGGUGUAAAGGGAGCGCAGGCGGGAAGACAAGUUGGAAGUGAAAACCAUGGGCUCAACCCAUGAAUUGCUUUCAAAACUGUUUUUCUUGAGUAGUGCAGAGGUAGAUGGAAUUCCCGGUGUAGCGGUGGAAUGCGUAGAUAUCGGGAGGAACACCAGUGGCGAAGGCGGUCUACUGGGCACCAACUGACGCUGAGGCUCGAAAGCAUGGGUAGCAAACAGGAUUAGAUACCCUGGUAGUCCAUGCCGUAAACGAUGAUUACUAGGUGUUGGGGGAUUGACCCCCUCAGUGCCGCAGUUAACACAAUAAGUAAUCCACCUGGGGAGUACGACCGCAAGGUUGAAACUCAAAGGAAUUGACGGGGGCCCGCACAAGCAGUGGAGUAUGUGGUUUAAUUCGAAGCAACGCGAAGAACCUUACCAGGUCUUGACAUCCGAUGCAUAACACAGAGAUGUGUGAAAUCCUUCGGGACAUCGAGACAGGUGGUGCAUGGUUGUCGUCAGCUCGUGUCGUGAGAUGUUGGGUUAAGUCCCGCAACGAGCGCAACCCUUAUUGCCAGUUACUACGUUAAGAGGACUCUGGCGAGACUGCCGUUGACAAAACGGAGGAAGGUGGGGAUGACGUCAAAUCAUCAUGCCCUUUAUGACCUGGGCUACACACGUACUACAAUGGCGUUAAACAAAGAGAAGCAAGACCGCGAGGUGGAGCAAAACUCAAAAACAACGUCUCAGUUCAGAUUGCAGGCUGCAACUCGCCUGCAUGAAGUCGGAAUUGCUAGUAAUCGCGGAUCAGCAUGCCGCGGUGAAAUACGUUCCCGGGCCU
rnacentral:rRNA from 1 species